UACGGGGGGGGCAAGCGUUGUUCGGAAUUACUGGGCGUAAAGGGUUCGUAGGUGGCUUGCUAAGUCAGACGUGAAAUCCCUCAGCUUAACUGGGGAACUGCGUCUGAUACUGGCGAGCUUGAGUGCAGGAGAGGAACGCGGAAUUCCGGGUGUAGCGGUGAAAUGCGUAGAUAUCCGGAGGAACACCGGUGGCGAAGGCGGCUUCCUGGACCGAUCACUGACGCUGAGGCGCGAAAGCUAGGGGAGCAAACGGG
rnacentral:rRNA from 1 species